rnacentral:rRNA from 1 species
GAUGAACGCUAGCUACAGGCUUAACACAUGCAAGUCGCGGGGCAGCAUGGGGGUUGCUUGCAAUCCCCGAUGGCGACCGGCGCACGGGUGAGUAACGCGUAUCCAACUUGCCCUUCACCACGGGAUAACCCGGCGAAAGUCGGACUAAUACCGUAUGUUGUCCAUUGACGGCAUCCGAUUUGGACGAAAGGUUUGGCGGUGAAGGAUGGGGAUGCGUCCGAUUAGCUGGACGGCGGGGUGACGGCCCACCGUGGCGACGAUCGGUAGGGGUUCUGAGAGGAAGGUCCCCCACACUGGAACUGAGACACGGUCCAGACUCCUACGGGAGGCAGCAGUGAGGAAUAUUGGUCAAUGGGCGUAAGCCUGAACCAGCCAAGUAGCGUGCAGGAUGACGGCCCUAUGGGCUGUAAACUGCUUUUAUGCGGGGAUAAAGUGGCCCACGUGUGGGUUUUUGCAGGUACCGCAUGAAUAAGGACCGGCUAAUUCCGUG